CUAACAAUUCUGGAGACCAAAUACUUUAUCUAGGUACAGCACAAGUGAGUGAGAGGAGAGCCAACUUCCUGUACACUGUCCUGCCAAGAAAUCUUCAUGCUGAUCUGGAGAAAGGAACCUCUAGGCAUGGCAGAAAAGUUGGCUCUCCAUAGUCCAUUCAGUCCUCAGUUUUU
ensembl:misc_RNA